GACAGAGGUGCCAAGCGUUAGGCGGAAUCACUGGGCUUAAAGCGUGUGUAGGCGGACUUCUAAGUGCCUUGUGAAAUCCCACGGCUCACCCGUGGAACUGCUGGGCAUACUGGGAGUCUUGAGCCACCUAGGGGCGAGCGGAACAAAUGGUGGAGCGGCGAAAUGCGUAGAUAUCAUUUGGAACGCCAACGGAGAAAUCAGCUCGCUGGGGGUGUGCUGACGCUGAGACACGAAAGCCAGGGGAGCGAACGGG
rnacentral:rRNA from 1 species